CCACACAACCUACGGGGGUUUAGUUUCUAUAUUAUUUUGAGGAUUUAUAAGAAUGAAAUUGGUCUGAUUCUGACACUUUAAACUUUGUCAGAGUACAAGUAAAGUUUUAUGUUUUGGUGGCUACAUUUGCCGAAGUUCCUAUGGACAAAUUAAAUGUACGAGACUGCUAUAGAAAUCAAUAGUAGUGUAUGGAAAUUAACUUGUAUGAUAUUCAUUACUAAUGAAAGGUUGUUGGUUAUUACUUAUUCUUCUUUAUGAUCUGCAGUAUUACAAAUGCUUGGGUCAUGGCCAAAUGGAAAAUUAGGCCAAUGUGAAUCAAUCGCUAGAAUUAUUGUCACUCAAAAGCAGCUGGAUCAUUCAAUCUUCGCUACAUAAGGUACCGGAUUUGUAUCUUGAAUUUUUUUAUGUAGUGGGUAUUUUUUUUAAAAUAUUAUUUAUUCUCUCUUUAUGCUUUUUAUGGGUUUUGCGAUGGCAAAUAACUGUUAACUUAUGUGAUGCUACCCCCAGUGUGAUCAUUGGAUAAAAAAUGCUUGCUGUUGCUCUGUUGCAUAAAAUUGUAUAAUAUUAAUUCGGCUUGAUCUUUAGAAUAAUAACAAACUUUGUAACA